GUCCAGCCUGCCCAGUGACUUUGUUCAACGGCCGCGGUAUCCUAACCGUGCGAAGGUAGCGUAAUCACUUGUUCUUUAAAUGAGGACUAGUAUGAAUGGCCCCACGAGGGCUGCACUGUCUCCUUUUUCUAAUCAAUGAAACUAAUCUCCCCGUGAAGAAGCGGGGAUAACCCUAUAAGACGAGAAGACCCUAUGGAGCUUUAAACAACUGAAACACUUGCUUUUCCCUUGACAUCUCCCGAGCUCUUUAUUCUACCUAAGCAUUUUUAUUUCUAGUUUUAGGUUGGGGUGACCACGGAGCAAAACUUAACCUCCAUGAAGAAAUGAAUACUUUUUAAGCCACAAACUACUUUUUUAAGCAUCAACAAAUUGACCUUCAUUGACCCAAUAUAUUGAUCAACGAACCAAGUUACCCUAGGGAUAACAGCGCAAUCUACUUCAAGAGCUCAUAUCGACAAGUAGGUUUACGACCUCGAUGUUGGAUCAGGGUAUCCUAGUGGUGCAGCCGCUACUAAUGGUUCGUUUGUUCAACGAUUAAAACCCUACGUGAUCUGA
rnacentral:rRNA from 1 species